CCUGGCUCAGGAUGAACGCUAGCUACAGGCUUAACACAUGCAAGUCGAGGGGCAGCAUGGUCUUAGCUUGCUAAGGCCGAUGGCGACCGGCGCACGGGUGAGUAACACGUAUCCAACCUGCCGUCUACUCUUGGACAGCCUUCUGAAAGGAAGAUUAAUACAAGAUGGCAUCAUGAGUCCGCAUGUUCACAUGAUUAAAGGUAUUCCGGUAGACGAUGGGGAUGCGUUCCAUUAGAUAGUAGGCGGGGUAACGGCCCACCUAGUCUUCGAUGGAUAGGGGUUCUGAGAGGAAGGUCCCCCACAUUGGAACUGAGACACGGUCCAAACUCCUACGGGAGGCAGCAGUGAGGAAUAUUGGUCAAUGGGCGAGAGCCUGAACCAGCCAAGUAGCGUGAAGGAUGACUGCCCUAUGGGUUGUAAACUUCUUUUAUAAAGGAAUAAAGUCGGGUAUGGAUACCCGUUUGCAUGUACUUUAUGAAUAAGGAUCGGCUAACUCCGUGCCAGCAGCCGCGGUAAUACGGAGGAUCCGAGCGUUAUCCGGAUUUAUUGGGUUUAAAGGGAGCGUAGAUGGAUGUUUAAGUCAGUUGUGAAAGUUUGCGGCUCAACCGUAAAAUUGCAGUUGAUACUGGAUAUCUUGAGUGCAGUUGAGGCAGGCGGAAUUCGUGGUGUAGCGGUGAAAUGCUUAGAUAUCACGAAGAACUCCGAUUGCGAAGGCAGCCUGCUAAGCUGCAACUGACAUUGAGGCUCGAAAGUGUGGGUAUCAAACAGGAUUAGAUACCCUGGUAGUCCACACGGUAAACGAUGAAUACUCGCUGUUUGCGAUAUACUGCAAGCGGCCAAGCGAAAGCGUUAAGUAUUCCACCUGGGGAGUACGCCGGCAACGGUGAAACUCAAAGGAAUUGACGGGGGCCCGCACAAGCGGAGGAACAUGUGGUUUAAUUCGAUGAUACGCGAGGAACCUUACCCGGGCUUAAAUUGCAGAUGAAUUACGGUGAAAGCCGUAAGCCGCAAGGCAUCUGUGAGGGUGCUGCAUGGUUGUCGUCAGCUCGUGCCGUGAGGUGUCGGCUUAAGUGCCAUAACGAGCGCAACCCUUGUUGUCAGUUACUAACAGGUUCCGCUGAGGACUCUGACAAGACUGCCAUCGUAAGAUGUGAGGAAGGUGGGGAUGACGUCGAAUCAGCACGGCCCUUACGUCCGGGGCUACACACGUGUUACAAUGGGGGGUACAGAGGGCCGCUACCACGCGAGUGGAUGCCAAUCCCCAAAACCUCUCUCAGUUCGGACUGGAGUCUGCAACCCGACUCCACGAAGCUGGAUUCGCUAGUAAUCGCGCAUCAGCCACGGCGCGGUGAAUACGUUCCCGGGCCUUGUACACACCGCC
rnacentral:rRNA from 1 species